AUACGGAGGGUGCAAGCGUUAAUCGGAAUUACUGGGCGUAAAGCGCGCGUAGGCGGUUUAGUCAGUCGGGUGUGAAAGCCCAGGGCUCAACCUUGGAAUUGCAUUCGAUACCACUUGACUAGAGUAUGGUAGAGGGAAGUGGAAUUUCCGGUGUAGCGGUGAAAUGCGUAGAUAUCGGAAGGAACACCAGUGGCGAAGGCGACUUCCUGGGCCAAUACUGACGCUGAGGUGCGAAAGCGUGGGGAGCAAACAGGAUUAGAAACCCGAGUAGUCC
rnacentral:rRNA from 1 species